rnacentral:tRNA from 1 species
CGGGGUGUGGCUCAGCUUGGCUAGAGCGCUUGAUUUGGGAUCAAGAGGUCGUCGGUUCGAAUCCGGUCACCCCGA